GAGCUGUUUAAGGAUUCAAGGCUUGACACUUCAAGGAGACUGAUAAGUCUGUGACCAGGGAAAACAAGUUAGGCAAGUGUUAGUCUGACUUAUAGCUAGCUAGCAUCCACCAUUUCAGACCAGAAGUUUGAAUGCUUCCAUAUCCUAAGGAUGAAUGGGACACAAAGGAGUUGAUACAUUACGGAUUUGAAAUUCAAGGUCUUUGAUCAAACACCAACAUAAAUUCCAACAAAUACUUCCAAACAGUUUCUUCUGGAUAGCUCCCGGCUUAGCCGGAAACUGCCUGCCCUCUGACCCUCCGAGAGACCUCCGUGAGACUUUUCAGGUGGAAGAUUUCCGCGGUACCACCAGUUCUUCUAACCGAACAUAAUUCCAGGUGCGGGCCAUUCUUCGCUUCCACAAUCGGGAAAGAAACUUUGCCACCUUGGAAUCCUUCUGCCUGGUCUGGUGAACAUUGAUGGCCGUGAAGUCAACAAACUCCCCACAUGGGGGCUCCCUUGACUCAAGUUGAGUCGUGAACCGGUACCAGGAGUCUUGGAAAUUUUCAGAUGUUUCUACAGAUUGAACUCAUUUCAGAAUUCGCGUGGGAGGGAAGAGGAAGGAUUUUAAUCGGGUUCACCUUUGACGUGAAGCGAGGCGGAAGACAGGAAAGCCACAGUCGGUAAUAGCUGCGGGUGCUUUAGUGAGAGAGCUGGAUUAUUUCCGCUGGAUUAUUCGGUCGUGUCUUCACCGCCGGCUCUUUGUGUGAGAGGUUACCCAGAGGCAGAGGUGGACACGGAGCACACGCAUGUAAACACUGCAGCCCAGAUCAGCAAACACAGGAGAUGGAGAAAAAGCGAUUCAUUCCCGUGUAGAUGUGGCUUUAAUCUUUACUGCAAAUGGGCAAUCUGAGUAUUCCCAGGAAUAAACUAAGAAGUGACAGUUUCUGGCCAUUCGUGGCAAGAACGAAGCAAUCUAAAGUUUGUCAUCCUGGAGAAAAUAUUAAAUCUCCAAUAAGCAGGAAAGGCAUUGAGAAUGAGAAGCAUUCUAAUUUUGUCUUAGAAGAAGCAUACAGAACUAAUAUAGCUUGUUUAAAUGUUAGAUCUAAAUCAUAGUAACAGGAAGCACUCCCACGAAAUUGCCAUUUCCUCUAAUUUUUGUUUAAGAUCCAAAUAAUUAAAAUGCAC
ensembl:lncRNA